UGCAGCCUACCUAGAGCUCACAUGAGCGCCAGGCUGCCUGAGAGGAGUGCAGAGGGAAACAGAGCUCCUUGUGUGGAUGUAUGGUCCCAUACAUGCCAGCACAUAUGAACCACUGAUCCGUACUCCAGCUGUCCCUGUCACGCGGCCCUAGGCGGGCAUUUCCGGUCAAAGUUUAGUUUCGCUUUUAAAGCAGCAGUGACGCAGAUUAUUUUCUCCACCGAGCUUUCUCCUGCAGAUAAAGAGUGUGAGCAGAACCAGCAGCAUGGACCAGCGAGAGGACAAAGAGAGGGAAGGAGCUCAGAGAGUCGAGCGGGAGACCUCAGAUGUUCCCAGUGGUCCGUCGGCCCAGCAGCAUCAAGCAGAACUGGACUCCAUAUUCAUG